ensembl:lincRNA
GCAGUGGGGGAGGGGUAGUUCUGCUGGAGGGUCCAGGGCACAGCACGUGCAGAGGCCUUGGGGGUGAGGCACAGCAAUGGCAUCUGGGCAGUUGCAAGGGCUGAGGUCAGUGGCCAGAGAUCCCUGCAGGGGAGCUGCUCAACGUAGAAGAUUGAAAAUGCAGACGGGAGAUUGCAGAGAACCUUCCAGAACAUAAGCCAUGGGGAAGGUCCUGAUAAUGAGGACAGACACUGUUCAGGCUGCAGGGAGACCGGAUCAGAAAGGGUGAAAGCAGUGUGCCCGCAGGAGGGGGCCAGGCGGUCCCAGGGUGAGGGUGCCAGGGGAGACAGCAAAGCAGCAGGCGCUGAGAGAGACAGAGCAGACGGGUCAGGAGGUGACCAGGGUGCACGUGCAUUUUUGAGAGCCAUCAGCUCCCAGCCGGGGACGUGGAAGAGGAUGGACCCCUCCCAGGGAGAACGGAGAAGCUGCCAAGGAAAGAGACAGAUGGAGUUCCUUGUGGCAGUUGGCGGUGUCCUGAGGACUUGCACUGCAGUAUCCAGAGAUGAUCCGGGACCUACUGUGAAUUCUACCUUUAGCACAUUGCAGAUGAGAACCGAUCUUUCCACUGUCUAGAAAGACCUGCUCACCCUUCCAACAAGAAAGAUAAAAACACAGGAGCGCUACAUGAAAGAUAAGAAAGGACCACACCCAUCAAAACCAACUCUAUGGGAAGAAAAACUCAAGGGGCUGUCUGUGCACCGUGGCUUCCUGAGCCAGGCGUUUCCUUCCCUAAAGCAACACAUUUAGAACCGUUUUCAGCACUGAAGGGCGACGGGUCUCUGUGGCUGACUUUUAUUUUUAACUAGAGUCUCCCAGGGAGUGGGGACACAUCCAAUGCCCUUACCUCACUUUCCGUCCCAUGGGGCUGUCUGCCAUGCCUGUCCCCUGGAGCAGUAAACUGUCCCCUGGAGUGGGUGGGGGUGAGUGAUCUGGGCAUGCUCGGCUCCGAGGGGACAGCUUGCAAGUCUGUUAAACAUAAAACGAGAGCACAAGGUCGUGGGCUGAGGGGAUGGUCGGGGGAAUACAUGGUCUGGCUUUCUAAAGAGCUGAGGGGAGAAACUCCCUAGCAAAUUCCCCAAACUGUGUUAAACCAGUUACGGCAUAUGUGGGUAGCCUGCAAGUUAAUUUCUUUUACCCUACAGUGGAAGCCUGUUUGGGUUCUCAUGCUGAGUACAGGCUAAUGCCUGCUAGGAUUCCUACAUUACAACAGCAGCAGGUUUUGUGCGCAAGGUCAUGGCCGAUAAGUGUGGUAUUGGCAUGGUAUCUAAUAGGUAUUGACUCUGGUCUCAGGAAUUCUGCUGUUAGUCCUUAAAACAUGCAGGAGGGGUUUUUAAUUAGCAUGCAGAACUUGCACCAUUGCAGCUGAGCAUCUAUGAUGCAUGUAGCGCUGUGUUUAUCCUUAGUCACACACAGCACUCUAGUGAGAUCUCCCUGACAGGAACUCUGUGGGAAACUCCAUCUGAAGUUGAGUUUCUCAGUCCUAGCUACACAGAACAGUUGUGAUAGCCCUUGUCCAUGGGGACAUGGAAGUUCCAAGACCUACAGUGACUGCCUGAAACUGCAGAUAGUACUGAAUCUUAUGUUAGUUUUUCCUAAACACACAUGGUAAAAUGUUUCAUGAAUUUGACACAUUAUGAGAUUAAUAAAAAUAACUAAUAAAAUAAAACAAUUCAACAAUAUACAAAAAUUGUCAGCAUCACUACUCUUGCACUUUGAGCCAGUAUCAAGUAAAACAAGGGUUAUUUGAACACAAGCACUAAGAUACUAUGACAGUCAACCUGAUAAGCAAGAGGGCUACUAAGUGAUUAAUGGGCAGGUAGCAUAUACAGCAUGGAUACGCUGGAAAGGAAAGGGGUGAUUCACCUACCAGGCCGGAUGCAGUGGGAUCGUAUGGGAUUUCAUCACACUACUCAGGAAAACACAUACUUUAUAAUUAAUAGCUUGUUUUUUUUCCUGGAAUUUUCCAUUGAAUAUUUUUGGAUCACAUUAGACCUGAGUAAAUGAAACCAUGCAAAGCAAAACUGAUGAUAAGGGGGGACUGCUAUUCUUGGAAGUUCUGGGAAAUACCUCCAGCUGAGAGACCAACUGGGUCAGAAUCUCCAGGGCAUGG